rnacentral:sRNA from 1 species
GCUGGGCAUGGUGGCACAUGCCUGUAAUCCCAGCAAUGUGGAAGGCUGAGGCAGGAGGAUCACGAGUUCAAAGCCAGCCUCAGCAAUUCAGCGAGAUCCUGUCUCUA